rnacentral:rRNA from 1 species
AUUGAACGCUGGCGGCAUGCUUCACACAUGCAAGUCGAACGGUAACAGGCCGCAAGGUGCUGACGAGUGGCGAACGGGUGAGUAAUGCAUCGGAACGUGCCCAGUCGUGGGGGAUAACGCAGCGAAAGCUGUGCUAAUACCGCAUACGAUCUAUGGAUGAAAGCGGGGGACCGUAAGGCCUCGCGCGAUUGGAGCGGCCGGUGUCAGAUUAGGUAGUUGGUGGGGUAAAGGCCCACCAAGCCGACGAUCUGUAGCUGGUCUGAGAGGACGACCAGCCACACUGGGACUGAGACACGGCCCAGACUCCUGCGGGAGGCAGCAGUGGGGAAUUUUGGACAAUGGGCGCAAGCCUGAUCCAGCAAUGCCGCGUGCAGGAAGAAGGCCUUCGGGUUGUAAACUGCUUUUGUACGGAACGAAACGGUCUGGGUUAAUACCCUGGGCUAAUGACGGUACCGUAAGAAUAAGCACCGGCUAACUACGUGCCAGCCGCCGCGGUAAAAC